CGAGACCUUACCCAGACUUGACAUCCUUGGAAGGCAUCCGAAAGGAUACUGUGCCCUCGGGAACCAAGUGACAGGUGUUGCAUGGCCGUCGUCAGCUCGUGUCGUGAGAUGUUUGGUUAAGUCCAUCAACGAGCGCAACCCUUUUAGUUAGUUGUAUUUUUCUAGCUAGACUGCCCCGGUAACGGGGAGGAAGGAGGGGAUGAUGUCAGGUCAGUAUUACCCUUACGUCUGGGGCUACAAACACGCUACAAUGGCCGGUACAAAGGGCUGCCAACCCGCGAGGGGGAGCAAAUCUCAUCAAAGCCGGUCUCAGUUCGGAUAGCAGGCUGAAACUCGCCUGCUUGAAGUCGGAAUCGCUAGUAAUGGUAGGUCAGCACACUACCGUGAAUACGUUCCCGGGCCUUGUACACACCG
rnacentral:rRNA from 1 species